CAUGCAUGUCUACGUAUGAACUGGUUUAAGGUGAAACUGCGUACGGCUCAUUACAUCAGCUAUAACUUUCUUUGAUCAUAAAUUCUAAAUGGAAUAACCGAGGAAAAGCCUGGGCUAAUACAUGCGACAAUUCCGGUAGUAAUAUCGGAAUGCUUUUAUUAGAUCAAAACCUUCUAGUUCUUUUACCGGAACUGUUUGUUGGUGACUCUAAAUAACUUUGUGUUGAUCGUAUGACCUUUGUGUCGACGACAUAUCUUUCAAGUGUCUGACUUAUCAACUUUAGACGGUACAUUAUAUGUCUACCGUGGUUGUAACGAGUACAGAGAAUCAGGGUUUGGUUCUGGAGAGGCCGCCUGAGAAACGGCGACCACUUCCAAGGAAGGCAGCAGGCGCGCAAAUUACCCACUCUCAAAACGAGGAGGUAGUGAAGAGAAAUAACGAUGUUAGUCUUUUAUAGGCUGACAAUCGGAAUGGGAACACUGUAAACAGGUUAUCGAUUAACAAUUGGAGGGCAAGUCUGGUGCCAGCAGCCGCAAAAGCUCGUAGUUGAAUUUCGGGUAUUUGUUGCUAGCUGGUCAAACUGGCCAUGUUGGUUAACAGAUCCUCAUUUGCUGGACGGCUGGCGAUGAUCUUCAUCGAUUGUCGUCAGUUGCCAGAACGUUUACUUUGAGAAAAUUAGAGUGCUAAAAGCAGGCUCACGCCUAUAUAUAUUGCAUGGAAUAAUGAAAUAAGAUCUCGAUUUUAUUUCGUUGGUUUUAGAAAUUGAGAUAAUGAUUAAUAGGAUCAGAGGGGGGCGUACGUACUGUGGUGUGAGAGGUGAAAUUCUUGGAUCGCCACAGGACGAACAGCAGCGAAGGCGUUCGCCAAGAAUGUUUUCAUUAAUCAAGAACGAAAGUUUGAGGUUCGAAGACGAUUAGAUACCGUCCUAGUUCAAACCAUAAACGUUGCCAACUGUCUUUUAGAUGCGGUUAUUUAUAUGACUCAUCUGGCGGAUCUCGAGAAAUCUAAGUUUUUAGGUUCCGGGGGAAGUAUGGUUGCAAAGCUGAAACUUAAAAGAAUUGACGGAAGGACACACAAGAAGUGGAGCCUGUGGCCUAAUUUGACUCAACACGGGAAACCUUACUCGGCCAGGACACUUUUAGGAUUGACAGAUUGAGAGCUCUUUCUUGAUUAGGUGGGUGGUGGUGCAUGGUCGUUCGUAGUUCGUGGAGCGAUUUGUCUGAUUAAUUUCGAUAACGAACGAGACUCCGGCUUACUAAAUAGUCUAAAGUUCGAAGGGACUUUCCAAGACUUCUUAGCAGGAUAAGUGGCACUUUUUAAGCCACACGAAAUGGAGCAAUAACAGGUCUGUGAUGCCCUUAGAUGUCCGAGGCUGCACGCGCGCUACACUGGAGAGUUCAGAAUGUUUCUUCCUACUUCGACAGAAGUGGGUAACCAUGAAAUUCUCUUCGUGACUGGGAUCGGAGCUUGCAAUUAUUCUCCGUCAACGAGGAAUUCCUAGUAAGCACUAUUUCAUCAGAAUGUGCUGAUUAUGUCCCUGUCCUUUGUACACACCGCCCGUCGCUACUACCGAUUGAAUGUUUUAGUGAGAUCUUCGGCUUGGUUUUCCGAGCGGCUCUCGGGUCGUUCGGUUUAUAUCGAAAAGAUGCUCAAACUGGAUCAUUUAGAGGAAGUAAAAGUCGUAACAAGGUAUUCGUAGUGACUG
rnacentral:rRNA from 1 species